UAUUAGUAUAUUUAGAAAUUUAAAGUUUUUGGCGGUUAAUUAAUAAUUAGAGGAGCUUGUUCUNNUUAAGAAUUUACUCUUUAUAUUUUAUAAUAUAUUAGCUUAUUUAUCUCCGUUAUAAUUUGUUUUUAAAAAAAGUUUAUUCUUAUAUUUCAGGUCAAGAUGUAGCUAUUAUUUUUUGUAAAUUAGCUACAAUUAUAUAAUAACAGAAAUUAUAUGUAAAAAUUUUUGUAAGUUGAAUUUAACUGUAAUAUAUUUUAUUAUGAAUAUUUGAAAAUUUAUAAUUAAUGUA
rnacentral:rRNA from 1 species